AGGUUUAUUCUCCCACCCAUCUCCGCCGACCUCUCUCCUUCCCAAGCCUCCCGAUUUCCCCCUCCCGAUCUCCUCCUUCUCCUCACAUUUCGCCCGAGAUCUCCUCCCUUUUCCUCGCGAUUCCUCCCCUAACUCGCAACGCCGACCAUGUGCUGCUUCGAUUCACCGAUCGUCGGACAUCCAUGAGCAGCCAAUGCUGGCCACCGAUUCUUGAGCCCUAGCUCCCGAUUGCUGCUGCUUCAUCGAUGAGCCACAGCCGCCGAGCCACCAGCACCGAGUCUCCUUCCCUCCCGAGCUGCACAUCACCGGCCGCCUACCUUCUUCCCUUGUCCUCGCACGAACACCUCUCACUGAUGCUGAUUCUUGAGAGCAUCCGAGUGCCACCCGGGUGCUGCUUCUCGAAGCAACGCCGUCGUCUCCCUCUCGAGGGUGUUCUUCCUCUUCGAGCCGAGCCCUAGAGGCCGUUUCUCCUCUCCUCAUCACCAGAUUUGGAUCAAGGAGGUCCAACGACGUUUUCUCACCAAAUUAUGGAGUAUUCAAGUUCAUCCUCCGACCGUCCAUCUUGUUCCAACACCAGUACGGGAUCCUAUGCCCUAGCAACGAUCUCUAGACGAUCACUUUGGAGCUCUACUUAGCAUCGGUUGUUAUUUUCCAGCAGCGACAUUCUUCAGUCGCGAAUCAUCAGUUGGGGCAUCCGGAUUUGGAGGAUUUGGAUUCGGGAUGAGCGUCUCGAUACGGGAUUACUUGGCACGAUCU